AUCUAUAUAGUAUAAAAAGUACAUUUGACUUCCAAUCAUAUAGUCUAUAAUUAAUAGUAUAGAUA
rnacentral:tRNA from 1 species